rnacentral:rRNA from 1 species
UGCGUAGGCGGGCUAAUAAGUCAGUGGUGAAAUCUUCCGGCUCAACCGGGAACCUGCCAUUGAUACUGUUAGUCUUGAGUUCGGUUGAGGUAGGCGGAAUGUGUAAUGUAGCGGUGAAAUGCUUAGAUAUUACACAGAACACCAAUUGCGUAGGCAGCUUCCUAGACCGACACUGACGCUGAGGCACGAAAGCGUGGGGAGCGAACAGGAUUAGAUACCCUGGUAGUCC